AUGAUCACGGUAUCCAGUGGAGAAAUUGUGCUGACCCAAUCACUGGCUCCCAUGACUAUUGCCCAAGGACAGAGAGUCACCAUCAACUGCAAAAAGCCAAAAAGCCCUCCAAAACUCCUUCUUUAUGGCACGUCAAACCUGGCCUCCAGGAUCUCUGCCUGGUUCAGUGGCAGUUGGUCUGGGACUGAUUACUCUCUCACAAUCAGCAAUGUGGAGGCUAAAGAUGCUGCAAACUAUUACUGUCAGCAGGUUCACAGCAGCACACCCACAGUGUUACAGACUGGAACCAAACCUCCUUCCCCCCUCAUGGUGCAACUGCUUCCCCUCAGAGGCUGUGAGGGUCACAAUCACUGCUCCUUGUAUCUGAAAGUGUCUCAUAGGGCUCUCUAA